AAUAUCGCGUUGAUGAGAUGAGUAGCUGAUUUUAAUGACUAAAGAGAGUGUCCGGUUGCUGAGAGGACAUAAAGUUAAUGUCAGUGAAGAUGAGCUCGGAGUAUUAGACAGGUUAAGGCUAUGUCUACGAUCAGCAUUCGUUACGAUGCUCGACUUCCUUGAUGGAUUCAAGUGAGUUUUGAGGCAAUCCUUUUCGAUUGUAAACAUAGGUGGCACCACGAUUAAAUCGUCCUUGUA
rnacentral:ncRNA from 1 species